rnacentral:rRNA from 1 species
GACGUAGGAGGCAAGCGUUAUCCGGAAUGAUUGGGCGUAAAGCGUCCGCAGGUGGCAGUUCAAGUCUGCUGUCAAAGACCGGGGCUUAACUUCGGAAAGGCAGUGGAAACUGAACAGCUAGAGUAUGGUAGGGGCAGAGGGAAUUCCUGGUGUAGCGGUGAAAUGCGUAGAGAUCAGGAAGAACAUCGGUGGCGAAGGCGCUCUGCUGGACCAUAACUGACACUGAGAGACGAAAGCUAGGGGAGCGAAUGGG